rnacentral:tRNA from 1 species
GCACCUAUAGCUCAGUAGGAUAGAGCAACGGUUUCCUAAACCGUGUGCCGCAGGUUCGACUCCUGCUAGGUGCACCA